AGAGUUUGAUCAUGGCUCAGGACGAACGCUGGCGGCGUGCCUAACACAUGCAAGUCUACUUGAAUACCCUGCUUGCAGGGGGCUAAGGUGGCGAACGGGUGAGUAACGCGUAGAUAAUCUGCCAUUCAAUCUAGGAUAACCUCGUGAAAACGUGACUAAUACUGGAUAUCUUCUCGAUACGGCAUCGUAUGAGAAUAAAGACUUUAAGUCGUUGAAUGAUGAGUCUGCGUACCAUUAGCUAGUAGGUAAGGUAACGGCUUACCUAGGCUACGAUGGUUAGCUGGUCUGAGAGGAUGAUCAGCCACACUGGGACUGAGAUACGGCCCAGACUCCUACGGGAGGCAGCAGUGAGGAAUAUUGCACAAUGGGGGCAACCCUGAUGCAGCAACGCCGCGUGUACGAUGAAGCAGUUUAUCUGUGUAAAGUACUGUUAAUCGGGACGAACUAGAAGGUUAGUAGCCUUCUUUGACGGUACCGGUAGAGGAAGCUCCGGCUAACUCCGUGCCAGCAGCCGCGGUAAUACGGGGGGAGCAAGCGUUGUCCGGAAUCAUUGGGCGUAAAGGGCAUGUAGGUUGGACUUUAAGUCAGUUGUUAAAUAUUACGGCUUAA
rnacentral:rRNA from 1 species